rnacentral:rRNA from 1 species
GUGCAGCAGUCGCGAAAACUCUGCAAUACGCGAAAGCGUGACAGGGCUACCCCGAGUGUCGUCCGCUGAGGACGACUUUUCCACGCUGUAAGGAGGCGUGGGAAUAAGGAGAGGGCAAGUCUGGUGUCAGCCGCCGCGGUAAUACCAGCUCUCCGAGUGGUAGGGACGUUUAUUGGGCUUAAAGCGUCCGUAGCCGGCUCAACAAGUCUCCCGUUAAAUCCAACGAUUCAAUCGUCGGACUGCGGGAGAUACUGCUGGGCUAGGAAGCGAGAGAGGCAGACGGUACUCCCGGAGUAGGGGUGAAAUCCUAUAAUUCCGGGAGGACCACCAGUGGCGAAGGCGGUCGGCUAGAACGCGCUCGACGGUGAGGGACGAAGGCUGGGGGAGCGAACCGGAUUAGAUACCCGGGUAGUCC